UGCGCGGCACGCGUGCAGAGGCCCACACACCCUGAAGGCGGAGCCCCGGGUCGAGUGGCUGGCUCCCGGACCACCCAGCAGUCUGGAAGGCGGUGAGGGCGGGCAUCUUCCGCUCGGGGGCCCCACUGAGGUGGCCUCGAGCUUAGCAAGGGUGAGCCAUCGAUGCAGUUGCACUCAGGGUCUCGAAGGGCUUGGUUCGAAGCUCUGCUGUCACAUUCCUGAAGUUUCACCGUCUCCCUAGGUAGCCCCAGGAUGAUCUAAAGUUCGCAGUUCUUUUUGGCGCCUCCCCCAUGCACCAUCACACCGGGUUAAAUUCUGAAUUUUAUAACAUGAUACUACAUGCUUAUUUCGUACUGUUGCCCCUGUGUAGCUGGUACUGCCCUAGGAGACCGUAUACAUACUGAUAGCCUAAUGAUUGAAGGAGAGAUUCCGGGAAAGGGAUCGCAUAUCCAGGAGGUAGAGCCUGUAUGCCAGGCAGUGAGGACCUCAAGAUCUGGAAUGUGGGUGGAUGCGGAGUGUGUACAGGUGAGGCUGCUUCCUCAGAUAGAAUGUCCAUUUGGGCAAAGUUUCUUGGCUGAGGAUUUAUUUAUACAAAGGAAGACAUAUCUUAAAAAAGUGAUCUUAAGAUGUGUCUCCUCUGGCAUUUAUGACUAAUAGUACCCACAUAAUAAAUUAAAUAAAUAAAAAUAAGAAAAUACUGGGCUACCGCUCCGUCGGUAGAGCAUUUGCUUGGUAUGAGUGAGGCCAGAGGCGGCAUAUUUGAUCCCCAGCAGGCUCCAGGAGGGAGUCAGAGCACUGGGAGAUGGGAA